rnacentral:rRNA from 1 species
GCUCAGUAACACGUGGUCAAUCUGCCCUAAGGUGGAGGAUACUCCCGGGAAACUGGGGCUAAUACUCCAUAGAGGAUGUAACCUGGAAUAGUACAUCUUCGAAAGAUCCGUCGCCUUAGGAUGAGACUGCGUCUGAUUAGGUAGUUGGUGGGGUAACGGCCCACCAAGCCCAUCAUCAGUACGGGUUGUGGGAGCAAGAUCCCGGAGAUGGAUUCUGAGACAUGAAUCCAGGCCCUACGGGGCGCAGCAGGCGCGCAAACUUUACAAUGCGAGCAAUCGUGAUAAGGAAACCCUGAGUGCCUGUUGAUGCAGGCUGUUCAUUAGUUUAAAUUGCUAGUGAAGAAAGGGCAGGGCAAGACCGGUGCCAGCCGCCGCGGUAAUACCGGCUGCUCGAGUGAUGGCCACUAUUACUGGGUUUAAAGCGUCCGUAGCUUGAUUGUUAGGUCUCUUGGGAAAUCUUCAGACUUAACCUUAAGGCGUCUAAGAGAUACCGGCAAUCUUGGGACUGGGAGAGGUAAACCGUACUUCGGGGGUAGGAGUGAAACCUUGUAAUCCUCGAGGGACGACCUAUGGCGAAGGCAGUUUACCAGAACAGCUUCGACAGUGAGGGACGAAAGCUGGGGGAGCAAACGGGAUUAGAUACCCCGGUAGUCCCAGCCGUAAACAAUGUGCGUUAGGUGUAUCGGCAACCACGCGUUACUGAUGCGCCGCAGAGAAAUCGUGAAACGCACCACCUGGGAAGUAUGGUCGCAAGGCUGAAACUUAAAGGAAUUGGCGGGGGAGCACCACAACAGGUGGAGCCUGCGGUUUAAUUGGAUUCAACGCCGGACAUCUCACCGGGUAAGACAGCUGAAUGAUUGUCAAUCUGAAGGUUUUACAUGACUAGCUGAGAGGAGGUGCAUGGCCGUCGUCAGUUCGUACUGUGAAGCAUCCUGUUAAGUCAGGCAACGAGCG